GAAGAAAAAAAUCAGCCGAGUGACUUGUGUUAACGUUACAGACUCCGAAAAAAAACCCAGCUCUGUCAUGCAUGGUAGUCUUAAAUUGUGAGCUCCCAAACUUGGAUAUUUCAGCCCACACUUGAGAAAACACCUUGCGUUGGCUGUUCACCUGUACCCUGUACCCUGCCUCUCGCCCCCAAGCCAUCUGGGAGGGACUCCAGCUCACCUGUGACCCUAAUGAGGACAACCGCUAUAGAAAAAAGGGUGAAAACGGGAUGUUCCAGUCUUGGCUUGGGAAAGUAAAAUCACGACAACCCCGAAGGACCUGAAGAAAUGGCUGGAAAUUU